GAGGAUUUAGCUCAGUGGUAGAGCGCUUGCCUAGCAAGCGCAAGGCCCUGGGUUCGGUCCCCAGCUUCG
rnacentral:tRNA from 1 species